CGAGCGGUGGUUGAUUCAGGGGCUGCAAGUUGUUUUAUGGACAUGUCCUUCGUGCAGCAACACGACGUCCCGAUACACGAAUACAGGGUCAUCCGCCAGAUUAAGGCCCUGGAUGGGCAGCUGCUGGGCACGGGAGUAAUAGAGAAACAGACAUUGCUGUUGCGGGUCCAGGUCAGGGCAUGCUACACAGAGAACCUCGCAUUCUAUACCAUCCGGUCCCCGGAGACGCUGGUGAUAUUGGGGUACACAUGGUUGACUAAGCAUGAUCCCGUGUUCUCAUGGAGCAAAGGGGAAUUAGUGGCGUGGGGGUUGCAGUGCGUCAUCACAUGUUUGGCCUUACCUUGUCAAGCCACCUCGGUAGAGAGCCCGGACGCGCCCAAGGCCUUCAUCGUCCCCAGAGAGUAUCAGGACCUGGCAGAGGUGUUCAGUAAGAAUAAGGCAGCCUACCUGCCUCCACAUAGGCCCUGGGAUUGCGCAACAGACCUACUGCCGGGCGCACCUCUGCCUCCGGGUCGGACAUACCCACUAUCCCGACCCGAACAAGAGGCGCUCCAAGAAUACAUCAAAGAGGCCUCAGCCUCCGGGAUAAUUCGGCCGUCCACUUACCCAGUGUCCGCCGGGUUCUUCUUCAUCGCAAAGAAAGAUGGGGGGGCUCCCUCCCAUUAUCGACUAUCGAGGGCUAAAUGCGGUCACAGUAAAAUACCCCCAUCCCUUGCCACUCAUCACCUCAGCGCUGAAGCAGGUCCAUGGGGCUCGCGUGUUUACAAAACUGGGCCUGCGCAGUGUGUACAAUCUCAUUCAGAUCCGGGAAGGGGAUGAGUGGAAGACCGCGUUUAGCACCUCUUUGGGCCAUUACAAAUACAUAGUCAUGCCGUUUGGCCUGGCAAAUGCCCCGUCCGUGUUUCAGGUCUUUGUAAACCAUGUAUUGGGAGAUCUGGUGACCAAGAGAGUCAUCGCUUAUCUCGACGAUAUCCUGAUCUAUUCCCACACGAUGCAUCAACAUGUCAGCCUGGUACGGCAGGUUUUGGGGUGCCUGCUGGAGAACUAACUGUAUACCAAGGAGGAGAAAUGCUUAUUCCACCAGACGCA
rnacentral:lncRNA from 1 species